GAUCCAUGCAUUCAUAGUUUCAAAUGCUGCACUACACCUGACCUUCAGUGGCCUCUGGCCUCUCCUUCCUCUUCAUGUGCUGUUUUCCUGCCUUACAGAGCUAAUUCCUUUGCUGAUUUCUAUACUAUGAAUGCUUGUGGCUUUGGUUUGCCAGGGCACCAAUUCUGACCCCCACUCUGCAGAACUUUUCAGAACUGUCUCUCAGUUCAAAUUACAGAGCAAAUAUGUCUGCUCACUGUACAACUAAUAUACUAGUUCUUCUCUGAUCUUUGUUCAAAUGCUGGCCCCACCACUUCUAGAUGUGUGACUUUGACCAUGAUACUUUGAACAGAAAAACAACUGAACAACAACAAAAAAUUCCACUUCAUUGGGCUGUUAUGCAGAUUAAAUGCACAUUUACAUAUUGCGACUAUCACACUUCUGGCACCUACUAAGUUAGUCUCCUUCUUCCUCCAAAGACAGUGGUAAGCCUAAAAGCAUUUGCUAUUUCUCACACACACUGACACAUGCGUUACCCACCCCCCACCUAUAGAAUAUUUCCACAGACACUCACAAUGUGGUCUAAUGAGUCUUGUUGCUUCUCCCUUUCGUCACUUUUGGAAACAGCCAUUUUUGUAACUUAGUACAGAGAUAGAAAAGAAAGUUUCUGAAACUCAGAAUAGCUUCACUUACUUUUGUUAGUCUCUCUGGUUGAGAAGAAAAUUAAAACUAAAAGCCAAAAUGAAAUUUUGGUUUUGACUGUCUGGGUAUUUUUCUUUUUUUUCUUUUUUUUUUUUUUUUUUGUCUUUUUGUCUUUUUGCUAUGUCUUUGGGCCGCUCCCUUGGCAUAUGGAGGUUCCCAGGCUAGGGUUCGAAUCAGUGCUGUAGCCACCAGCCUACACCAGAGCCACAGCAACGCGGGAUCCGAGCCGCGUCUGCAACCUACACCACAGCUCACGGCAACGCCGGAUCGUUAACCCACUGAGCAAGCGCAGGGACCGAACCCGCAACCUCAUGGUUCCUAGUUGGAUUCGUUAACCACUGCGCCACGACGGGAACUCCUGUCUGGGUAUUUUAAUUCAUCUAUGCUGUGUUAGUUUGGGUACUAUAACAAAUUACCACCCAGGUAGUACAAACAACAAACAUUUAUUUCUUACAGUUCUGGAGGCUGAAAGUGGAAGAUCUAGGUGCCCAUAGAUCCAGUAUCGAUCGGAUGAGAACCCAUGCCCUGGUUUGCAGAUGGCUGCUGUCUUGCUGUGCCCUCCUGUGGCAGAGAUCUGGGAGCACAAGCUCUCAUGUCACUUCUUAUAAAGGCACUAAUGCCAUUCUUAACGGCUCCACCCUUGUGACCUAAUUACCUCCCAAGGACCCCACCUCUAAAUGAAAUCGUAUUGAUGGGUUAAGAUUUUGUCAUAUGACUUUGAAGGGGAUAUUCAGUCCAUAACCAGUGCCAUCUGUCAGCCCUGUGGCCUUUAUUUUUAAAAUAGAGACUUUGCAUGUAUUCUAGGUUUUCAUUUUUACUUGUUUUAAGUUUUGUAAGUCUCUGAAUGUAGACAAGGUUAAAAAUAGGUAAUAAGUCUUAAGUUAUUUUCCCUCUUUUUUUUUGCUUCAUUUCCUGACAUGUUUCCUGUCUCUUUGUUGGGUAAAAUUAGCAUCUUCCCUUAGUUUUUAAGAGCUCCAUAAACUCUCAGUCCUCCUCAGCCAUACUUUGGGUUAGUUUGUCUUGUUGCUUUUUGCUUUUGGUCAGUGGAGAGACUACAGCUUGUCAGGAUAUGCCUCUGCAGGAUGGAAACUAGAGAGAAAAUUCUGACAAGUAGUUUUUAUUUGAUAAGCUCUCUCAUGUUAAGUUGAGUCCUCUCUUUGCCUUAUCAGGACAGGAGGUAGAGAAGCUUUUUAGAUCUUUUUUCUUCUAGGAAACUUUGCACAUCUGGAGCAAAAGCCUCCUUUCUUAUAUUUUGCCAUAUUGUUCAAAGCUUUUAAGAAAAAAAAAAAAAAAACAGCAAAGAUAAAAUCAGUUUUCAUCCAGAGAUAGCUCCUUUUGGAAGCCCUGGACUGAAGAGAGAUUUUCAGGAGGCAGGAGGUCACUUUCUUUUGAAGUCAGACAGCUGUCUCUUUAUCAUAUUGACAAUUUCUGGCUGGGAAGAACAUCUGAAAAACAUAUUUCCCAACAUGAAAGUUGAGGCAGCUCUUUACCCUGCCACUUCCUGUUCUAGUCUCUACAGGAGUUCCUCCAAACAAACCUCAUGUUAUAAGAGUGGCAGGCCUACUCUUUCCAUCCCAUUCUGCUUUACAGCCUUUUAAAGGUCUGCCCUCAUCCUCCUCUCUCUCAACCCCACUUCUAUAAGUGUUUUGAAUUUUAUGCUUUAGAGAUGAGAGAAAAGUCUAAUGUCUCAAUGACAGCAUUUGAAGGGCAUUUUGGCCCCUGCAGAAAUAAAUAAAUCAUCAGAUCUACUUUGAAACUGGGAACUGAGUGGGACUGUAGACCGUAUGAACUUUGCAGACCUUGCUCAGAAUCCUCAGUAAGGUUGAGUGAUGCUUUAAGAAGGCAUUUUACAUAGAUAUGCCAUGCUCCUGCUUAUGACCUUGAAAGGAACUAGGGACACCAUUUUCCCUAGUCAGAAGGCCCAGGGAUGGACCUUCUCUGCAAAAAAAGAAAAAUAAUUUAUGGAACAAUUAUUUAAAUAAUAACAACAAGCAAUUUUAUUGAAUAUCUGCUCUGUAGUGGGUACUAUAUAAAAUGCUUUUAUAAGCAUUACCUCAUUUAAUUCUGCCACCAACUCUGUGAUUUCUCCAUUUACAGAUGAAGGAACAGAAAUAAGUGAAGCAGAGGCAGACAUGUAUAAGCAUUGUUUGUAGUAGUCAUAAAUGAAAAUGACCUGACUGCUCAUUAGAAAUAUUUAGAUAUGGUUUUUUAAAAAAGUAAUUUGUAAUAUAAUAUUGAUUUUAAAAGCAACCCUUUUUAAAAUAGCUAGAUAGAAAUGAGAGAAGGACUGAAAGAAAUUUGGUUAUAAUUUAAAUUGAACACAUAGUAUGAACUAGGAAGCCCAAUGCCUCUCAAAGAAAACUCCUGCCCAAUUCUAGAUCAGUCUCUUGGUCCAUAAGAAGCUUUUUGUACAUGUUUUACUGGACUGUCAAGCAUAGCACCCUCUUGUGAUGCUGACAGAAUGUCUAGUGAGGCAAACACAUAGGGUGACGAUAUAAUUUAUCAUCCAAAUCAGGACUCUUUUAAGAGUGAAAGUGGUGCUAUCAAUAACUACUCUGGACAACAGGCAUAACCCCAGGAGUAUCCUGAGCAGACCAGGAUACAUGGUCCAGUCUCAUGCACAGGAGACCCUCCAGUGGACAAGUUCCUGUCAAUUCCACAUAUGGCUGUGAUUCUGAGUCAAGGUUCCACCCUUCCUUGGCUCCAGGGCUCCAUCCUGAUUUAACAUCCUGCUACUUCAUCUCUGUGUUCAUGUGUUAUAUCUUUUUCCUUCUCAUUCCCUGACUGACUUCAGGUACCUCUGCCCCAGCAAACUCCCUGGGGUUAAUAGCCUCUUUUAUGUCUCCAAGGGGAUGAGCUCAUCCUCCACUGAAGACAACAGAACCACAGACCCUGUUUCACUAUCAUCCUCUGUAAAUCGCAACAUGACCACUACCAUCUGCACAGAUUCAUGCAGGGCAAAAUAAAGCAGAAGCCUGGACUCCCUGAGGAGAAGGAGGCUGGCUCACAAUCUCCUCAGCUUCACUCCAGAAGACCAGACAGUCCUAAGCUCCAGGGAACAAAAGAGAAAAC
rnacentral:lncRNA from 1 species